rnacentral:misc_RNA from 1 species
UAGGAGCGGGAACCAGGAAUUGGGAUUUUGAUUUCUUUGGUAAUGAAUUCACUGUCUGGGAAUCUUUGUGCUGCUGUUUUUUCAAUGAAGGCAAAGAGGGGUUGGCAGUAGACUUGGUAAGCACCAACAAGGUGGACUACUAUGGCAACAUUGGCAAUGUCUAGUAGCCAAUAUGGGUUAUAAAAGCCAAAGCCUGUGAGGAGAUUUCC